AUAAACGCUUGGAACGGGAUUAGUAGGGAGAUUCGCUUGAAUCCAGAGAGCUGCGGGAUGGUGCAACGCAGUAUGAAGGCAACCCUGAACUCACCCGGGAGCGGAAUGAUGGAAAGUCUAACGAGUAGACAGGUACAUCAUUACGGUUGAUCCCCGUGAUCGGAUACCAUUAUAUUGUAUUUCAUAUAAUGCAUUUUAAUGGAUAAAGCGGGACGCCGUUUUGAAUGAUUCUAAUCAGCGUCCAAUAAGAGUGGUACCGCGAAGGUAAAUCAACCGUCGUCUCUUUU
rnacentral:ncRNA from 1 species